AGAUUUCAUAUUCAGGUCAAUUUCCAUGGAACAUCUCGGUUUGAGACUAGUAGAGACCAUAUCUUACCUAAUAUUACUACUAUUUCGAAGCGUUCCCGAAGCAAAUCAGUCGCAGACAUAUUAUACAAUGGAGAUGUUUCAUCGAUUUUAUGAACGAUCGUCGUUGGCCAAAUGAAGAAUAUUUUAUCUUCUUCUCCAUCACAGCCAAUCUAAAAGAUGCAAUUUUCUUGAGGGGUUGCUAACCCAACGCAGCAGCUCACCUUUAAUUCAGACUGAUAAAACGGCAAAUUUUCGCCUUCUUUGGUAACUUUGUGCUUAAUUAACUGCGACCUAACGUGCGCCUCGAUGAUGUGACUCUUCCGCAUAUCGCCUACCCUAAACAUUAAACACGGCACGCCGUCCCUGUGCGAAAUAACGGCGUUACGUGAAAACAAUAAAGUCUGCGUACGUUUCUUUGGUCUUGAAAGUUUGGCGAAAACGACACCGACCAUAAAUGCUUGUAUCAUAACUCCGGUAAUACUCUGAAGGCACAUUACGAAUAUCGCUUCGGGACACUCCUCGGUCGUCGUUCUUCCUCCGAAACCAAUCGUGUGCUGCGUUUCCACGCUGAAGAGGAACGACGACGUGAACCCGUUGAUAUUGGUCACGCAAGGGAUCCACGUCUGGUUAUUCUACAAGCAAACUACCCAUGAUUUAAACACGUGAGGGAAGAAUGCCAAACACUUACUAUGUUUUGGGCGAGAAGAUCGCCGUGCGAGUAGCCAAUCAGCCACCACACUAUCGCAAAUCCCAACCAGGACAGUACGAAGUUCAUGGAAAACACCAACAACGUCCAUCUCCACUGCGCGUCCACAAGCGUCGUGAAGAUAUCCUGCAGAUACCUCCGUCGCCGUUUCGCGACGUUUCCCUGGACAACAUUACAAUCGCCAUGCUUGAAAACGACGCGUUUACGAAUUCGUCUCGCAUUAAAUCUCGAUUGACGAUAUCUGCAACAAAUACUACGAGGACUACAGAUGUCGCUCAUCGCUCCCACGCCAUCCUCCCGGAAUCUCGACUUCUACAUCUUCUUUGAUUAAUUUAAUAGAUACGCUUCCCGCAACCUCAGAGCAAAAUGUACAAAGUAAGCAACAACAUAGGAUUCGUGUUAAUUUAUCCAAAUGUUCAACUCCCCUAGAGCCUUACGAAAGCAAUGUUCAUUCUAUAUACGUAUACCGGCACACACAAUAAACAUGGAAAUAGACUGGA